rnacentral:rRNA from 1 species
ACGGGAGGCAGCAGUGGGGAAUUCUUCCGCAAUGGGCGAAAGCCUGACGGAGCGACACCGCGUGAAGGAUGAAGCUUUUCGGAGUGUAAACUUCUUUUAUAUGUGAAGAUUAUGACGGUAACAUAUGAAUAAGCACCGGCUAACUACGUGCCAGCAGCCGCGGUAAUA